UAGAGUGAGAGGACUAGAAAUUCAGUUGAGAGAGAGAAGAAACAGAGGAGAAUCGAAGAGAGAGAGCGUCAACUGAAGGGGAUCCGGCAAUCGUCUAUGGUCAACCACCCUGUUUUGGUGACCACCUCUGUCUUUUGCUCCCCUGUUCUAGCGGCUAAGGGUGUGGUUGAUACCUAAGGUUAAGGAUAAUCAUGGAAUCAAAUCGAAGCAGACCAUGAUGAUGACGACGUUACCGGUAGCGCCUAGGGUUCCAACAGAGCUACGGAGAGUCAGAUUCGUUUACAAAUGAGUACCCUAAUCCAAUUCCACCGCAUCCCUCGACGUAUCCCCUUCCUCCCUCUUCUCUUAGUUUCGAUUCCGGCGAACCCUCCAUCGGAUUCCAUGCUUGAUGCUUGUAGUCUGAAAUUAGAGCUCUGACAGCUAUGUUUCAGCAAUCAGGGCUCCAAUUUUAGUUAAUUUUGGAUUCUGCAGGUCUCAAAGCUUCUCGAAUUUGGUCUCCAUUCAGGAAUAGUGCCUUACGCGUAGGUCCAAGGUUCACCCUUCGCGGGAUUAUUGUAAAGUUGCAUUGGAGAAACCAGAUACAUAUAGCGUUAGUUGGCCGGAGAUAAUAGCAACUAUAAACACAUAGGUCCAAGGCUCACCCUUCGCGGGAUUAUUGUAAAGUUGCAUUGGAGAAACCAGAUACAUAUAGCGUUAGUUGGCCCGAGAUAAUAGCAACUAUAAACACACUGUCCCACUACUAACCAAAAUCAUGGAGCUGGAGUGGAUGCAUAGUUUUUCCUACUUCACUUUGUACCUGAGUAUGGUAUCAUUUGAGAGAACAAAUACAAAAGAAGUUUGUACCUAGGUAUAUUAUAUUCUUUAAGCUUUUUUUUUUCUUUCUAGAAUUUUAGUGUUGUACUUAUCAUUUCAAUAUAUCCUUAGGUUUAUUUUGCUAUUUACACAUUUUAUUUAAUUUGUAGAAUGGUGGAUGUAUGCAUCUUGACAUGUAGUUUAUCUUCAUUUUUUUUGUCAAAAAUGCAAGUGGGCAUUUGAAGAUGUAAGCUCAUCUUUUAUGUAUAGUAACAGGUUAGGUUCUCUUGA